rnacentral:lncRNA from 1 species
GCUAUACAGCGAGGUGACCAAGGACCGGCCAGCUACGACAGCGAGGUGACCAAGGACCGGCCAGCUACUACAGCGAGGUGACCAAGGACCGGCCAGCUACUACAGCUACUACAGCAAGGUGACCAAGGACCGGCCAGCUACUACAGCGAGGUGACCAGGACGGCCAGCUACUA